rnacentral:rRNA from 1 species
GACGAACGCUGGCGGCGUGCUUAACACAUGCAAGUCGAACGGAAAGGCCCUUCUUUUGUGGUGUGCUCGAGUGGCGAACGUGUGUGUAACAUGUGAGUAACCUGCCCUUGACUUUGGUAUAACUUCAGGAAACUGGGUCUUAUACCGGAUAGGAGCUCCUGCUGCAUGGUGGGUGUUGGAAAUUUUCGGCGGUUGGGGAUGGACUCGCGGCUUCUCAGCUUGUUGGUGGGGUAGUGGUUUACCAAGGCUUUGACGGGUCGCCGGCCUGAGAGGGUGACGGGCAAAAUGGGGACGGGGAAACGGCCAGAACUCCUACGGGAGGAAGAAGUGGGGAAUAUUGAAAAAUGGGCGGAGGCCGAAGGAAGAAAGGCGGCGUGGGGAAUGACGGCCUUGGGGUGGUAAACCGCUUUCGCCAGUGACGAAGCGUGAGUGACGGUAAUGGGUAAAGAAGCACCGGCUAACUACGUG